UCGCCCUUCGCUCUGCCCGUCAGUGCCGAGCUGUUGCUGCUGCCUGGGCUUUUCCUGACGCCUGCUCUGAAGCCAAUCCCGGCAGGAUGGGCACUGCUGCCCCAGUGGAGACGGUCAGAGACACCCUGGAGGAGAUGGAAGUGGACAUGGUGGUGCAUGGAGAAGAAAUGAUGGAGGUGGACACAGAAGACACUGCCGAGGACAUGGAGGUGGACGUGGAGGACGACACCGAGGAAAUGGAGGUUGAUGAGAAGGAUGAGGAGGAGCCCAUGGUCCUCGGAUGAAGAUGGAGCCCCACGAGCAAGAGAAGCAGAUGCUUCCCACGCCCAGCCCACCUGAGCCACUGCUGGCAGCAGAGUCCAGCGCUGCUGCAUCCUUUCCUCCAGGACUGAGGGAGAUGAUGGACACUGAUAUGACCCCUUUGUAAUUACGUUCUAGGUUUAGAGGUUUUCUGUAAAUAUGUUUUAAAGUUUCUUA